GUGGAUUAGAUACCCUAGUAGUCCACGCCCUAAACGAUGAAUACUAGACGUUGGGUGUAAAAGCUCAGUGUCGCAGCUAACGCAUUAAGUAUUCCACCUGGGGAGUACGAUCGCAAGGUUGAAACUCAAAGGAAUUGACGGGGGCCCGCACAAGCAGUGGAGCAUGUGGUUCAAUUCGAUGCAACGCGAAGAACCUUACCUGGGCUUGAAACGCAGAUUAAGGGGGAUGAAAGUUCCCGUGCCGCAAGGCGAAUCUGUACAGGUGCUGCACGGCCGUCGCCAGCU
rnacentral:rRNA from 1 species